UAGCUCACGGCUGCGUCGUAAGAGGGUAUUUAAUAUAAACUAACCGCCUAGGGAACGAACUCCAUCACGAUGGGGAUUAUCGUUAUACAUAUAUAGUCGGCCUUGUUCGAGACGGGAGACGAAGUGCGGAACGUCUACACCGAGAUAUCGACGAACCAGGUACGCAAAGGCGUCAAAUGAUAUAUUAGAAUUCGACCACGCGGACCAAGGAAAUGCAACCUUGCGGCGAAAGGUGGUCGGAAACAAAGCAGGCGGUGGAUCGUUGUCACCAGGACUGGCUGGUCGAGAGUGGUAGGUGGCAAGUGGAAUAGAAUCGUAGAGUCAAGCGAAACGAAUUGUUACAUUAUAUUGGCCCUGCUCCCGACCAAGUCGACAUUCAUGCCGAGC